rnacentral:tRNA from 1 species
GCACCAGUAGCGCAGCUGGAGUGCGUCCUGCCCACCGAAGGCAGGCGUCGUGGGUUCGACUCCCGCCUGGUCGCCCCA